rnacentral:rRNA from 1 species
CCUACGGGAGGCAGCAGUGGGGAAUAUUGGUCAAUGGACGCAAGCCUGACCCAGCAAAGUAGCGUGAAUGAUGAAUGCCCUAUGGGUUGUAAGCUUCUUUUAUAUAGAAGUAGAGUGCGGUGUGUCUUCUGCUUUGAAUGUACCUUAUGAAUGUGGAUCGGCUAACGCCGUGCCAGCAGCCGCGGUAAUACGGAGGAUCCGCGCGUUGUUCGGAUUUAGUGGGGGUAAAGGGAGCGUAGGUGGGUUGUUAAGUCAGUUGUGAAAGUUUGCGGGUCAACCUUAAAAUUUCAAUUGAUACUGGUAGCCUUGAGUACAGGAGAGGCAGGCGGAAUUCGUGGUGUAGCGGUGAAAUGCUUAGAUAUCACGAAGAACUCCGAUGGCGAAGGCAGCUUGCUGGACUGUAACUGACGCUGAUGCUCGAAAGUGUGGGUAUCAAACAGGAGUAGAUACCCGUGUAGUC